rnacentral:rRNA from 1 species
GACGAACGCUGGCGGCGUGCUUAACACAUGCAAGUCGAACGGAAAGGCCCUGCUUUUGUGGGGUGCUCGAGUGGCGAACGGGUGAGUAACACGUGAGUAACCUGCCCUUGACUUUGGGAUAACUUCAGGAAACUGGGGCUAAUACCGGAUAGGAGCUCCUGCUGCAUGGUGGGGGUUGGAAAGUUUCGGCGGUUGGGGAUGGACUCGCGGCUUAUCAGCUUGUUGGUGGGGUAGUGGCUUACCAAGGCUUUGACGGGUAGCCGGCCUGAGAGGGUGACCGGCCACAUGGGGACUGAGAUACGGCCCAGACUCCUACGGGAGGCAGCAGUGGGGAAUAUUGCACAAUGGGCGGAAGCCUGAUGCAGCAACGCCGCGUGCGGGAUGACGGCCUUCGGGUUGUAAACCGCUUUCGCCUGUGACGAAGCGUGAGUGACGGUAAUGGGUAAAGAAGCACCGGCUAACUACGUC